CCUACGGGGGGCAGCAGUGAGGAAUAUUGGUCAAUGGACGAGAGUCUGAACCAGCCAAGUAGCGUGAAGGAUGACUGCCCUAUGGGUUGUAAACUUCUUUUAAAUGGGAAUAAAAUGUUCCACGUGUGGGAUUUUGUAUGUACCAUAUGAAUAAGGAUCGGCUAACUCCGUGCCAGCAGCCGCGGUAAUACGGAGGAUCCGAGCGUUAUCCGGAUUUAUUGGGUUUAAAGGGAGCGUAGGUGGAUUGUUAAGUCAGUUGUGAAAGUUUGCGGCUCAACCGUAAAAUUGCAGUUGAAACUGGCAGUCUUGAGUACAGUAGAGGUGGGCGGAAUUCGUGGUGUAGCGGUGAAAUGCUUAGAUAUCACGAAGAACUCCGAUUGCGAAGGCAGUUCACUGGACUGCAACUGACACUGAGGCUCGAAAGUGUGGGUAUCAAACAGGAUUAGAUACCCCAGUAGUC
rnacentral:rRNA from 1 species